rnacentral:rRNA from 1 species
GACUGGGCGGUUCGCUGCCUGUGACGUCGCGAGAAGUCCACUGAACCUUAUCAUUUAGAGGAAGGAGAAGUCGUAACAAGGUUUCCGUAGGUGAACCUGCGGAAGGAUCAUUGUCGAAACCUGCCCAGCAGAAUGACCCGCGAACUCGUUGCUACUCUCUGGGGGUCUGGCGCAUGGCGCUCCCGCUCCCCGAGCUCGAGCGCCUUUGAGUUGUCCCCCCGCACGCAGCGUUGGUCGAGCCCCGUCUUGUUCCCUCGCUGCGAAACAACGAACCCCGGCGCAAGCCGCGCCAAGGRAAAACUAAACGAGAGAGCACGCUUACGCCGCCCCGUGAACGGUGUGCGCGCGGGACGCGUGGCAUUCUUUCAACCAAAAUAAAAAAUGACUCUCGGCAACGGAUAUCUCGGCUCUCGCAUCGAUGAAGAACGUAGCGAAAUGCGAUACUUGGUGUGAAUUGCAGAAUCCCGUGAACCAUCGAGUCUUUGAACGCAAGUUGCGCCCCAAGCCGUUAGGCCGAGGGCACGUCUGCCUGGGUGUCACGCAUCGUUGCCUAAACAAAAAUCCCCCCUUGGGGGACGAUCGGUUGGGCGAAAACUGGCCUCCCGUGCGCUUUUCGCUCGCGGUUGGCCCAAAUUUGAGUCUUGGGCGAUCGGGCCGCGAUGAUCGGUGGUGAAACAAGCCUCUCGAACUGGUAUCGCGUGCGCGUGUCUCCGUUUUACGGGCUCGCUGACCCUUCGAGCGCCUUGUAUCCAUGGCGCUGUCUCGCUUUGCGACCCCAGGUCAGGCGGGACUACCCGCUGAGUUUAAGCAUAUCAAUAAGCGGAGGAAAAGAAACUUAC